rnacentral:rRNA from 1 species
GGGUUGUGAGGUUAAGCGACUAAGCGUACACGGUGGAUGCCCAGGCAGUCAGAGGCGAUGAAGGACGUGCUAAUCUGCGAUAAGCGUCGGUAAGGUGAUAUGAACCGUUAUAACCGGCGAUUUCCGAAUGGGGAAACCCAGUGUGUUUCGACACACUAUCAUUAACUGAAUCCAUAGGUUAAUGAGGCGAACCGGGGGAACUGAAACAUCUAAGUACCCCGAGGAAAAGAAAUCAACCGAGAUUCCCCCAGUAGCGGCGAGCGAACGGGGAGCAGCCCAGAGCCUGAAUCAGUGUGUGUGUUAGUGGAAGCGUCUGGAAAGGCGCGCGAUACAGGGUGACAGCCCCGUACACAAAAAUGCACAUGCUGUGAGCUCGAUGAGUAGGGCGGGACACGUGGUAUCCUGUCUGAAUAUGGGGGGACCAUCCUCCAAGGCUAAAUACUCCUGACUGACCGAUAGUGAACCAGUACCGUGAGGGAAAGGCGAAAAGAACCCCGGCGAGGGGAGUGAAAAAGAACCUGAAACCGUGUACGUACAAGCAGUGGGAGCACGCUUAGGCGUGUGACUGCGUACCUUUUGUAUAAUGGGUCAGCGACUUAUAUUCUGUAGCAAGGUUAACCGAAUAGGGGAGCCGAAGGGAAACCGAGUCUUAACUGGGCGUUAAGUUGCAGGGUAUAGACCCGAAACCCGGUGAUCUAGCCAUGGGCAGGUUGAAGGUUGGGUAACACUAACUGGAGGACCGAACCGACUAAUGUUGAAAAAUUAGCGGAUGACUUGUGGCUGGGGGUGAAAGGCCAAUCAAACCGGGAGAUAGCUGGUUCUCCCCGAAAGCUAUUUAGGUAGCGCCUCGUGAAUUCAUCUCCGGGGGUAGAGCACUGUUUCGGCAAGGGGGUCAUCCCGACUUACCAACCCGAUGCAAACUGCGAAUACCGGAGAAUGUUAUCACGGGAGACACACGGCGGGUGCUAACGUCCGUCGUGAAGAGGGAAACAACCCAGACCGCCAGCUAAGGUCCCAAAGUCAUGGUUAAGUGGGAAACGAUGUGGGAAGGCCCAGACAGCCAGGAUGUUGGCUUAGAAGCAGCCAUCAUUUAAAGAAAGCGUAAUAGCUCACUGGUCGAGUCGGCCUGCGCGGAAGAUGUAACGGGGCUAAACCAUGCACCGAAGCUGCGGCAGCGACGCUGAUGCGUUGUUGGGUAGGGGAGCGUUCUGUAAGCCUGUGAAGGUGUGCUGUGAGGCAUGCUGGAGGUAUCAGAAGUGCGAAUGCUGACAUAAGUAACGAUAAAGCGGGUGAAAAGCCCGCUCGCCGGAAGACCAAGGGUUCCUGUCCAACGUUAAUCGGGGCAGGGUGAGUCGACCCCUAAGGCGAGGCCGAAAGGCGUAGUCGAUGGGAAACAGGUUAAUAUUCCUGUACUUGGUGUUACUGCGAAGGGGGGACGGAGAAGGCUAUGUUGGCCGGGCGACGGUUGUCCCGGUUUAAGCGUGUAGGCUGGUUUUCCAGGCAAAUCCGGAAAAUCAAGGCUGAGGCGUGAUGACGAGGCACUACGGUGCUGAAGCAACAAAUGCCCUGCUUCCAGGAAAAGCCUCUAAGCAUCAGGUAACAUCAAAUCGUACCCCAAACCGACACAGGUGGUCAGGUAGAGAAUACCAAGGCGCUUGAGAGAACUCGGGUGAAGGAACUAGGCAAAAUGGUGCCGUAACUUCGGGAGAAGGCACGCUGAUAUGUAGGUGAAGUCCCUCGCGGAUGGAGCUGAAAUCAGUCGAAGAUACCAGCUGGCUGCAACUGUUUAUUAAAAACACAGCACUGUGCAAACACGAAAGUGGACGUAUACGGUGUGACGCCUGCCCGGUGCCGGAAGGUUAAUUGAUGGGGUUAGCCGCAAGGCGAAGCUCUUGAUCGAAGCCCCGGUAAACGGCGGCCGUAACUAUAACGGUCCUAAGGUAGCGAAAUUCCUUGUCGGGUAAGUUCCGACCUGCACGAAUGGCGUAAUGAUGGCCAGGCUGUCUCCACCCGAGACUCAGUGAAAUUGAACUCGCUGUGAAGAUGCAGUGUACCCGCGGCAAGACGGAAAGACCCCGUGAACCUUUACUAUAGCUUGACACUGAACAUUGAGCCUUGAUGUGUAGGAUAGGUGGGAGGCUUAGAAGUGUGGACGCCAGUCUGCAUGGAGCCGACCUUGAAAUACCACCCUUUAAUGUUUGAUGUUCUAACGUUGACCCGUAAUCCGGGUUGCGGACAGUGUCUGGUGGGUAGUUUGACUGGGGCGGUCUCCUCCUAAAGAGUAACGGAGGAGCACGAAGGUUGGCUAAUCCUGGUCGGACAUCAGGAGGUUAGUGCAAUGGCAUAAGCCAGCUUGACUGCGAGCGUGACGGCGCGAGCAGGUGCGAAAGCAGGUCAUAGUGAUCCGGUGGUUCUGAAUGGAAGGGCCAUCGCUCAACGGAUAAAAGGUACUCCGGGGAUAACAGGCUGAUACCGCCCAAGAGUUCAUAUCGACGGCGGUGUUUGGCACCUCGAUGUCGGCUCAUCACAUCCUGGGGCUGAAGUAGGUCCCAAGGGUAUGGCUGUUCGCCAUUUAAAGUGGUACGCGAGCUGGGUUUAGAACGUCGUGAGACAGUUCGGUCCCUAUCUGCCGUGGGCGCUGGAGAACUGAGGGGGGCUGCUCCUAGUACGAGAGGACCGGAGUGGACGCAUCACUGGUGUUCGGGUUGUCAUGCCAAUGGCACUGCCCGGUAGCUAAAUGCGGAAGAGAUAAGUGCUGAAAGCAUCUAAGCACGAAACUUGCCCCGAGAUGAGUUCUCCCUGACUCCUUGAGAGUCCUGAAGGAACGUUGAAGACGACGACGUUGAUAGGCCGGGUGUGUAAGCGCAGCGAUGCGUUGAGCUAACCGGUACUAAUGAACCGUGAGGCUUAACCUUACAACGCCGAAGGUGUUU